UACAGAGGGGGCAAGCGUUGUUCGGAAUUACUGGGCGUAAAGGGCGCGUAGGCGGCCUGCUAAGUCGAACGUGAAAUCCCCGGGCUCAACCCGGGAACUGCGUCCGAUACUGGCAGGCUUGAAUCCGGGAGAGGGAUGCGGAGUUCCAGGUGUAGCGGUGAAAUGCGUAGAUAUCUGGAGGAACACCGGUGGCGAAGGCGGCAUCCUGGACCGGCAUUGACGCUGAGGCGCGAAAGCCAGGGGAGCAAACGGG
rnacentral:rRNA from 1 species